ensembl:ncRNA lncRNA:CR44645 long non-coding RNA:CR44645
UGCUGUUGAUGCCGCUGCCAUUGUUAUUUCGUGGAGCUGAGGCUUCGGGGAUCGGGAUCAGGGCUAGGCAUCGGCUGAAAGAAAAGACGAGCGUGCAACGCCCACACACUUGACUGGUCCGCUCUGCCACCUCUCGCCUUUCGAUUGUCAGCUCAACUUAACGCCCGCCGCCGAGGGGCGUGGCACAUUAGUGGCAACAGCACGGCGAUACAGAAAAAAAGAGAGAAAAUAAAGCGUAGAACAGAAAAACCAGCGAAUACAUGAUUGUCAACACGCACACUCCCAACAACCGAGGCAGCGCCAACACGGCGUAUGAGUAAUAUGUCCGGCUGCCUCGAUGGCGGUGCUGCCUGCACCAUGUCAACAUGCAAAACAACAAUGGGGCGGAAGUGCAUUGUAAACGUACCGAGCACUGCGCCCCAAAAAAUGCCACCCCAUAUACCGCCACAAAUUCCCACCUCUCGAUGGGUGAGUGCAAUUAUAAUUUGGUAAAUCGACGGAAGUUCGGAUAAACAUACGCAAAACGUUUGCCUGCUCCUGCAGCCGACAAGGAUGAAAAAAGGCGAAAAUGGUUCACCCCGCAGGCCAAUGAGUUUUUGCGUCGAUGGUGGGAACACGUGAAAAUAUUUGGUAGAAUUUUGUAUUGAUAAAAACAUAAGAAAAUACUUUAAAUUAAGUGGAAAUGGAACUCAACAUCCCAG